UGAACAUUAUUGCUGUUUACAGUUUAUUUCUAUCUAUAAUUAUAUUCAAGAUAAUAAACAAAAACAGCAAAAUUUCCUUAAAAUUAUCAAUCCAGGGGCAGCAACCCAACAACAGGUUGUCUGAUUCAUCUGAAAAUUUCAGGGCAGAUAGAUCUUGACCUGAUAAACAAUAUUACCCAACGUCAGAUUUGCUCUAAAUGCUUUGGUUUUUGAGUUAUAAGCCAAAAACUGCAUUUGACCCCUAUGUCCUAUUUUUAGCAAUGGCGACUAUGUUUGUUAAUAGAUCAUAACUUCGGAUACAAUUUACAAACUAGAUACCCUAAGGAACAUUCAGUUAAAGUUUGGAAGUAUUUGGCCCAGUAGUUUUAGAGGAGAAGAUUUUUGUAAAAGAUUACUAAGAUUUACGAAAAAUGGUUAAAAAUUGACUAUAAAGGGCAAUAACUCCUAAAGGGGUCAACUGACCAUUUCCGUCAUGUUGACUUAUUUUUAAAUCUUACUUUGCUGAACAUUAUUGCUGUUUACAGUUUAUCUGUAUCUAUAAUAAUAUUCAAGAUAAUAACCAAAAACAGCAAAAUUUCUUUAUUAAAAUUACCAAUUCAGGGGCAGUAACCCAACAACAGGUUGUCUGAUUCAUCUGAAAAUUUCAGGGCAGAUAGAUCUUGACCUGAUAAACAAUAUUAACCCAUGUCAGAUUUGCUCUAAAUGCUUUGGUUUUUGAGUUAUAAGCCAAAAACUGCAUUUGACCCCUAUGUUCUAUUUUUAGCAAUGGCGACCAUGUUUGUUGAUAGAUCACAACUUCGGAUACAAUUUACAAACAAGAUACCCUAAGGAACAUUCAGUUAAAGUUUGGAAGUAUUUGGCCCAGUAGUUUCAGAGGAGAAGAUUUUUGUAAAAGAUUACUAAGAUUUACGAAAAAUGGUUAAAAAUUGAAUAUAAAGGGCAAUAACUCCUAAAGGGGUCAACUGACCAUUUCCGUCAUGUUGACUUAUUUGUAAAUCUUACUUUGCUGAACAUUAUUCCUGUUUACAGUUUAUCUCUAUCUAUAAUAAUAUUCAAGAUAAUAACCAAAAACAGCAAAAUUUCCUUAAAAUUACCAAUUCAGGGGCAGCAACCCAACAACGAGUUGUCUGAUUCAUCUGAAAAUUUCAGGGCAGAUAGAUCUUGACCUGAUAAACAAUAUUAACCCAUGUCAGAUUUGCUCUAAAUGCUUUGGUUUUUGAGUUAUAAGCCAAAAACUGCAUUUGACCCCUAUGUUCUAUUUUUAGCAAUGGCGACCAUGUUUGUUGAUAGAUCAUAACUUCGGAUACAAUUUAUAAAUUAGAUACCCUAAGGAACAUUCAGUUAAAGUUUGGAAGUAUUUGGCCCAGUAGUUUCAGAGGGGAAGAUUUUUGUAAAAGAUUACUAAGAUUUACGAAAAAUGGUUAAAAAUUGACUAUAAAGGGCAAUAACUCCUAAAGGGGUCAACUGACCAUUUCCGUCAUGUUGACUUAUUUGUAAAUCUUACUUUGCUGAACAUUAUUCCUGUUUACAGUUUAUCUCUAUCUAUAAUAAUAUUCAAGAUAAUAACCAAAAACAGCAAAAUUACCUUAAAAUUACCA
rnacentral:lncRNA from 1 species